rnacentral:lncRNA from 1 species
AUAAAACUACAAUUGAUGAAAACAUUGGAGCAAAUCCUAAAGAAUGCAAACUCCUUGAGAGCAAAAGCAAUGUCUGUGGCUACCUGAAGAUACCCACUACGACAGCCAGCCUCCAAACUGACCUCCAGUUAUCCUUGCCUCCUGCUAUUCACGCUCUCGUGCAGUCCUUUCCUACCUCGCACUGGGGCUAACCUAUGUGAGCAAUAGAAUACUAAACAAAGUGACAGCCUCAGACUUUCUGCCUUGGCCUCUUGGAUUGCUUCCUUUUGGGGAAGCCAGUUGCCAUUUUGUGAGGUCACUCAAGCAGCCAUCAGUGGAGAGGAACUCAAGCCUUUGCUUGACUUUAGCCUGCCAAUAUCUGGCUGCAACCUCAUCAGAGACCCCAAGCCAAGCCAGAACUGCCAGCCACAUGUGUCCUGAAUUCCUGAUCCACAGAAACCAUGAGAAAUAAUAAAUGAGUAUUGUCACUUUAAGCCAUUAAGUUUUUUGGUGGUUUGUUAUGCAGCAUUAGGUAUUCACAGAAAUGCCUAUAUUCAGUUGAAAAGGAUGCUCGAACUAGAAAAUGAAUUCCUGCAUGUCACUUCAUAUUUGACUUCAACAUGAAUCCACAUAAUACCCAUCAGCCUAUCGAGAAGUAUUUGUUGAGCAAAUGCCAUGUGGCAAACACUGUGCUAAGCUGGAAAUACAGAGCUACACAAGGUAUGGCCCCUGCUCUCAAGCAGCUCUUGAUGUCAUUUCUAAGACAAGACAAUAGCUAUUUGGGAGAUAAAUAUGACUGUUGAAAAGUUAACAACAUAAAAUAGAAAUUUAAGGGAUGGUGAUUUCAGAGGAAGGUAAGAGACCUUAGGGUUCGGUUAGCAUAAAACAUUUUUAUUGUAGAGAUGGGCAUGGACCUACACGAAAACACAGAUCUAGAAUAUUUGCAGUUCUCAAACUUUAGAAUGCAUCAGAACACCUGGAGAGCUUAAAAGUCAGAUUUCUGGACCCUAUUCCCAGAGUUUCUGAUUCAGUUGGACUGGAGUGGAGGUCUAAGAAUUUGCAUUUGUAACAAGCUCCCAGAUGUACUGAUGAUGCUGGUGUAAGGGCUACCCUUUGAGAAACCACAUACCUCUAGAUGCCUGCCACUCAGCGUGGUUCACACACCAGCAGCAGAAAUGUCUCCUGGAACCUUGUUAGAAAUGUAGACUCUCAGACCCCCACCUUAUGCCUACUAAAUCAGAUUCUGCAAGUUAACAAGGUCCCCAGGUGUCUCACAUACACAGGGAAGCUUGAGAAAUCCUGCUGCAGAGGGUAGAUGGGUUAUGCUCCCUUUAGCAAGCUGGGCAAGAGCUGGAUUUGCUGGGCACAUCUGAGGUCAGGUAUGACUUGUGUGUAUGUGAGAAUUUUUCUCGAUGGUCACCCCGUUUGGGUUUCAUUGAUUUUCUCAGGCAGACCUUUUUUUGUUUUGUUUUGUAACUCAUUGAUUUUUGCGGCAGACUGAGUCCUCCUCAUCAGUUCUCUGCAGGUAAUUUCAAUUCAUUUUGAUUCACUUCCUCACCGCCUUGGCAUUUCUCCACCCGCACUUGGCAGUACCACUAAUUGUGCUUGCCCGUGAGUGACUGGAUAUGACACAACUGUGGAAAACUGCAAAAGGUCAAGGGGUUACUGCCUUGUGCAAAAGCAGAGAGGCCUGCAUGCCUUUUGGAAAGCCAGGAAAUUUGAACCAGGGCCAGGCACAGGAGCCCCGUGAUGUUCAUGCUUUUCACCAAGUAAGAAGCAGGUGACAAAAUGAACAUGGCUGUGGCAAUGCUUUGAACACAGCUGAAAAAUUCUAUGCUUGCUCAAGGCGAAUGGGCUGUUUUCCACUGGUGAUUAUGAGAUAGAUAUGGUGACAUCAACUGCUCUAAUGUUCAGCCCAAGGAAUUUUAUCUUAUGUCUUUUGUGCUCACAUGAAGGCCAAGCCACUCCCAGGGACAGAGGAGGCCAUUGUGUCUGCUCUGUCAUGUCAGGACACAGGGAAAGCCCCAUUCCUCACAUCUCCCUGUCUAAAAAUUUCCUUGCUUUCUUCUCUGUUUUGUGGGUUUUCAAAUUUUAUCCCGUCAAUUGAAAUCACACGUUAGCCACGCUCUUCUGGGAGUAACAAGCUGCUAAUGUUCCCCCUUUCAUUCAACUGCCAUUCAGCAAACAUUCUCUGUCUUUGGACAGACAAAGACGAUUAAGACAAUGCCUUUUUUCAAGGGGGAGGAAACACGCUUACUUUCAAAAACUGCAAAUCAGUGUGCUAUGUAUUGUAUAAAUACUGCUAAAUUUAUACAAUCAUUCAGUUCUCUUAGGCAGAGGUUCCCAAACUUUCUCUGUUCACGGUACCCAGUGAUGUUUUCAUGGCACUCCAAACCUAAAGAAAAUAUCUACAGUUCUGCUUUUUUUUUUUUUUUUUUUUUUUUUUUGAGACAGAGAGACAGAGUCUUGCUCUGUCUCCCAG